GAUCCUGGCUCAGGAUGAACGCUGGCGGCGUGCUUAACACAUGCAAGUCGAACGGAGUUUACCACCAUGAUUCUUCGGAAUGAUAAUGGUAAACUUAGUGGCGGACGGGUGAGUAACGCGUGGGUAACCUGCCUCACACUGGGGGACAACAGUUGGAAACGACUGCUAAUACCGCAUAAGCGCACAGCUUCGCAUGAAGCAGUGUGAAAAACUCCGGUGGUGUGAGAUGGACCCGCGUCUGAUUAGCUGGUUGGUGAGGUAACGGCCCACCAAGGCGACGAUCAGUAGCCGGCCUGAGAGGGUGAACGGCCACAUUGGGACUGAGACACGGCCCAAACUCCUACGGGAGGCAGCAGUGGGGAAUAUUGCACAAUGGGGGAAACCCUGAUGCAGCGACGCCGCGUGAGUGAGGAAGUAUUUCGGUAUGUAAAACUCUAUCAGCAGGGAAGAUAAUGACGGUACCUGACUAAGAAGCACCGGCUAAAUACGUG
rnacentral:rRNA from 1 species